GCGGUAAUACCAGCUCCCUGAGUGGUAAGGACGAUUAUUUGGCUUAAAGCGUCCGUAGCCGGCUUAGUGAGUCUUUUGUUAAAUCCAAUGAUUCAAUCAUUGAACUGCAAGAGAUACUGCUAUGCUAGAGGACGGGAGAGGUCGACGGUAGUCCAAGGGUAGGGGUGAAAUCCUAUAAUCCUUG
rnacentral:rRNA from 1 species